GACGAAGGGGGCUAGCGUUGUUCGGAAUUACUGGGCGUAAAGCGCGUGUAGGCGGUUGCCCAAGUCGGGUGUGAAAGCCUUGAGCUCAACUCAAGAAAUGCACUCGGUACUGGGUGACUAGAGGACCGGAGAGGAUAGUGGAAUUCCCAGUGUAGUGGUGAAAUACGUAGAGAUUGGGAAGAACACCAGUGGCGAAGGCGGCUCUCUGGGACGGUACUGACGCUGAGACGCGAAAGCGUGGGGAGCGAACAGG
rnacentral:rRNA from 1 species